rnacentral:rRNA from 1 species
CCUACGGGAGGCAGCAGUGGGGAAUUUUGCGCAAUGCUCGUAAGAGUGACGCAGCGACGCCGCGUGAAUGACGAAGGCCUUCGGGUCGUAAAGCUCUUUCGACAGGGAAGAAAAUGCCUAUAAGUAACUGUGUAUGUAUUGACGGUACCUGUAUAAGCAGCCCCGGCUAACUCCGUGCCAGCAGCCGCGGUAAUACGUAGGGGGCGAGCGUUGUUCGGAGUUACUGGGCGUAAAGAGCACGUAGGCGGUGUUUUAAGUCAUUAGUCAAAGACUAGAGCUCAACUGGAGUAAGGCAAGUGAUACUAUAAGACGAGAGUAUCAGAGAGGAUAGCAGAAUUCCUGGUGUAGCGGUGAAAGGCGUAGAUAGCAGGAGGAAUACCGUUAGCGAAGGCGGCAAUCUGGCUGGAAACUGACGCUGAGGUGCGAAAGCGUGGGUAGCAAACAGGAUUAGAUACCCUUGUAGUC